UGGUUGAUCCUGCCAGUAGUCAUAUGCUUGUCUCAAAGAUUAAGCCAUGCAUGUCUAAGUAUAAAUAGUAUACAGCGAAACUGCGAAUGGCUCAUUAAAACAGUUAUAGUUUAUUUGAUAAUUGAAAUUUACAUGGAUAACCGUGCUAAUUGUAGAGCUAAUACAUGCUAUCAAGCCCAACUUUUGGAAGGGUUGUAUUUAUUAGACUUAAGCCAAUAUUCCUUCGGGUCUAUUGCGAUGAUUCAUGAUAACUGAUCGAAUCUCAUUUUUUGAGAUAAAUCAUUCAAGUAUCUGCCCUAUCAGCUUCCGAUGGUAGUGUAUUGGACUACCAUGGCAGUAACGGGUAACGAAGAAUUAGGGUUCGGUUUCGGAGAGGGAGCAUGAGAAACGGCUACCACAUCUAAGGAAGGCAGCAGGCGCGUAAAUUACCCAAUCCUGACUCAGGGAGGUAGUGACAAGAAAUAGCAAACCGGGGAUCUCACGAUCUUACGGUAUUGCAAUGAGAACAAUUUAAAACACUUAGCGAGGAACAAAUUGAGGACAAGUCUGGUGCCAGCACCCGCGGUAAUUCCAGCUCAAUUAGCGUAUAUUAAAGUUGUUGCAGUUAAAAAGCUCGUAGUUGAACCUCUGUUUGGGACUAAUUUUGGCUUCUGUCAGGUUAGUUUCAAGCAUCCGCUUGCAAAACCUAGCCGUCAUUCACUUGUCGCUAGGAGGAGCAGGCAUUUUACUUUGAAAAAAUUAGAGUGUUUAAGGCAGGCAAUUGCCCGCAUAUAUUAGCAUGGAAUAAUAGAAUAGGACACUUUUCCAUUUCGUUGGUUAUUGGAAUCGUGUAAUGAUUAAUAGGGACAGUUGUGGGCAUUUGUAUUUAAUUGUCAGAGGUGAAAUUCUUGGAUUUAUUAAAGACAAACUAACGCGAAAGCAUUUGCCAAGGAUGUUUUCAUUAAUCAAGAACGAAAGUUAGGGGAUCAAAGACGAUCAGAUACCGUCAUAGUCUUAACUAUAAACUAUUCCGACUCAAUGUUCGACUGGCUUAUAUAACCAGUUGAGCGUUGUAUGAGAAAUCAAAGUCUUUAGGUUCUGGGGGGAGUAUGGUUGCAAAGCUGAAACUUAAAGGAAUUGACGGAAGAGCACAACCAGGAGUGGAUUCUGCGGCUUAAUUUGACUCAACACGGGGAAACUUACCAGGUUAAAACAAUAGUGGGAUUGACAGUUUGAGAGCGCUUUCUUGAUUCGUUGGGUGGUGGUGCAUGGCCGUUCUUAGUUGGUGGAGUGAU
rnacentral:rRNA from 1 species